CUUGGUCAUUUAGAGGAAGUAAAAGUCGUAACAAGGUCUCCGUUGGUGAACCAGCGGAGGGAUCAUUACAGAGUUGCAAAACUCCCUAAACCAUUGUGAACGUUACCUUCAAACCGUUGCUUCGGCGGGCGGCCCGGGUCCGCCCGGUGCCCCCUGGCCCCCUAGCGGGGCGCCCGCCGGAGGAAACCCAACUCUUGAUUAUUAUGGCCUCUCUGAGUCUUCUGUACUGAAUAAGUCAAAACUUUCAACAACGGAUCUCUUGGUUCUGGCAUCGAUGAAGAACGCAGCGAAAUGCGAUAAGUAAUGUGAAUUGCAGAAUUCAGUGAAUCAUCGAAUCUUUGAACGCACAUUGCGCCCGCCAGUAUUCUGGCGGGCAUGCCUGUUCGAGCGUCAUUUCAACCAUCAAGCCCCAGGCUUGUGUUGGGGACCUGCGGCUGCCGCAGGCCCUGAAAACCAGUGGCGGGCUCGCUGUCACACCGGGCGUAGUAGAUUUUAUCUCGCUCAGGGCGUGCUGCGGGUUCCGGCCGUUAAAAAGCCUUUUUUACCCAAGGUUGACCUCGGAUCAGGUAGGAAUACCCGCUGAACUUAAGCAUAUCAAUAAGCGGAGGA
rnacentral:rRNA from 1 species